UGGUUCCCAUCUAUUGCUGCAGGACGAACAGAACUGCUUACCCCAAUUCUUUCUUUCUGCUUCUUCUCUGGGAGAUCGAGAUCGAGAUCGAGAUCGAGGCCAUGGAUCCCAACCCCAAGUCCUUCCCCAUCCUAUCCUACGUGAUGUCCCGCCUCCCUCGGAUCGCCUCCUUCAAGGCCGGCCAAACCCACAUCGGCGACCACGACAUCGAGCAGCCGCCCCACGUCGACGUCGAUGUCGAGCUGGUGGGACGGAUGCCCCGCCUCCAGCACCCGGCGCUCCUCGCCUCCAUGGCCACAGUCAUCGCUGACGUGGCCCAGACCCGCUCCGUCCUCGGCGUCCUCGGCGACCGCCCCGACCACGAGGCCGUCGACGCCGCCCGCGCCCGCAUCGCCGAGAUCGACGCUGACCUCUCCCAGCAGCUUGGGGAGAUCGUCACCGCCUCGUGCCCCGAGGGGACCGAUCCGCUCCAGCGCCGGGCUAGGGCCGAGCGCGAGAAGGUCGCCCUGCGCGCCGUGGUCCAGCUUGACGAGAUGCACGAGGCGUACGAGAAGUUUCUGAGGGGCGCGGAGGAGAGGCUGGUCAAGAUGUAUGGUUCUGCCGCCGAGGGCAGCGAGGCUGUCGGUGUCAGGGAGGGUCCUGCCGUGGUACAGGAGGAGGGGGAGGGAGUGAAUGAGGAGGUUAUCCGAAUUCUGCAAGAAGGAUCAGGAAAUUGCUUGGAGAGAGUGGACCUCUCUGGCCGACAGCUACUGUAUCUUCCCGAGGCAUUUGGCAAGCUGCGAGGCUUGGUCUCCCUCAACUUGUCCAACAACCAGUUAGAGGCUAUUCCAGAUGCCAUAUCAGGGUUAGAAUGCCUAGAGGAACUUCGACUUUCUUCCAAUAGUCUCCUUUCAUUGCCUGAUUCCAUUGGGCUGUUAAUGAAUUUAAAGAUCCUUGAUGUAUCUGGUAACAAGCUCAAGUCACUACCAGAUAGCAUCUCAAAAUGCAGGUCACUGGUGGAGUUUGAUGCAAGCUACAAUGAACUAACUUACCUGCCAACAAAUAUUGGAUUUGAGCUGCAGAAUCUGGAAAAACUUUGGAUCCAUCUCAAUAAGAUACGAUCUCUUCCCACAUCAGUCUGUGAGAUGAGAUCUUUGCGGCUUUUGGAUGCCCACUUCAAUGAACUUCGAGGUUUACCAUAUGCCAUCGGUAAACUCACAAAUCUCGAGAUUUUGAAUCUUAGCAGCAACUUCAGCGAUCUACAAGAGCUUCCUGCAACAUUUGGCGACCUGAUCAGUCUUAGGGAACUGGAUCUUAGUAACAAUCAGAUACAUGCACUGCCGGACACAUUUGGUCGGCUAGACAAGUUGACAAAACUCAAUUUGGAUCAGAACCCACUGGUUAUUCCCCCAUCGGAAGUGGUAACUCAAGGAGUUGAAGCAGUUAAAGACUACAUGGCAAAAAGAUGGCUUGACAUCUUGUUAGAGGAAGAGAGAAAGAGUAUGGCUGAAGAAACCUCACCAGCUCAGGUUGGUUGGUUGACGCGCAGCACGUCAUGGCUAACCAACUGGGUUUCUGGAGUUUCUGGAGGUGUUGCAGAGCACCUUGGUGCUGGACAAAAGCCUUCUAGAGAUCCCUAUCUUGAUCAGCAGUUGUGAUUAGAUUCUCAUGACCACGCUAUGUUUAGGACUUCCUAUUUUGUACAGUUACUGGGCACCGAACAUCCAUCUCAUUUUAGUAUGUGUGACGUUUCUCUUCUUUUGCAGCAGUUUGUUUGUGAGCUGGUGUCAGUUUGUUUCCAGCAUGAUUCCAAGUUUUCUGAUAAGUGGAAGGAAAUGACACUAAUCUAAAUCAUGAGCAUUUUGGUUCAUUUGCUGAUGCCCUCGGACAACGGUGCAUCAAGAUGACAUUCCAGUUCCCAGUUGAGCCACCUCAGUGAACAAGCAGCAAGGCAAUGUGAAAUCUGUCUGAAUCUACAUGUUCACAUGUUCCACUCUACAUCCAAUUAAAGGAAACUAUCAUACAAUUUUUUGGU